rnacentral:lncRNA from 1 species
AGACCUAAAGUGGCGCCCCAUCUACUGUUCAUCUUCUCUUUCACCAAAACUAACCUCCGCCUCUCCCAAACUCACCCGAGUUCACCUCAAAACUCACCUCACGUGCUCCAACCUCUCUCCUAUAGCCACGUAGCAACCGACUCUGACAACAAGAAGAUUCCUUCCAGAUAUUUUACGCGCCUCCAGCUUCUAGAUCAAUUUGCUGGAUGAAUGGGGGUCGUCGAUUGAUGAAAAUCAAUCCAUGCCCUCCAUUUAUCCCAAAAAUCGUUCACAAGGAAUAAAGGAUUUUUCGGAUUUGAGAAGAUUUGAGAAUUUUUCAGAGGUUAUAUAAGGUGAGGAUGUUCUUGUUUGAGGGGUUUUUCUUUUUCGGGGGGUUGAAAGAUUUCUGGGUAUAAAAAUUUAGGAGAGAUAGAGUUUUCCGGGCAGAUUUUUUAGAUAAAAUUUGGGUUCUAAAAAUAUUCUUCUUCUUCUCUUUUAUCCAUCUUCAUUCUUAGUUUAAUAUCAGAACAAGAAAAAUACAAAAAAAAAACAUGUUCAGUAUUUUGUGAUUCCAUUGUUAUUUGGUUUACUAUCUACAAAUUUUGAAAGACAUAGAUUCCGUCUCUUCUUUCAAUCCGGAUUUUGUUAAAAAUGGAGUUCGAUUGAGAGAUAGUUGAGUUCGUUGUUGCUCGAGGCGUCGAUUUUUGGCUAUUGUUGUUUUUUGGUCGAUUUCAGUGUUAUGGCUAGUUCAGUUUUCAAUUUCAGGUUCAUUUCUGUUCCUCCUCUCUAUUUCUGUUGUGAAGUGAGCCAUGAACGAGCUGUAAAAUGACUUAGUUAAGAUAAUAGAUGAAGCUUGUGUGGUUAUUUUUUGGCUUCAUUUACUACUCUGCUU